AUUGAACGUUGGCGGCAUGCUUUACACAUGCAAGUCGAACGGUAACAGGCCGCAAGGUGCUGACGAGUGGCGAACGGGUGAGUAAUGCAUCGGAACGUGCCCAGUCGUGGGGGAUAACGCAGCGAAAGCUGCGCUAAUACCGCAUACGAUCUAUGGAUGAAAGCGGGGGACCGUAAGGCCUCGCGCGAUUGGAGCGGCCGAUGGCCGAUUAGGUAGUUGGUGGGGUAAAGGCUCACCAAGCCGACGAUCUGUAGCCGGUCUGAGAGGACGACCAGCCACACUGGGACUGAGACACGGCCCAGACUCCUACGGGAGGCAGCAGUGGGGAAUUUUGGACAAUGGGCGCAAGCCUGAUCCAGCAAUGCCGGGUGCAGGAAGAAGGCCUUCGGGUUGUAAACUGCUUUUGUACGGAACGAAACGACUCUGGUUAAUACUCUUGGAUAGUGGACGUUACUCGCAGAAUAAGCACCGGCUAACUCUGUGCCAGCAGCCGCAGUAAGAC
rnacentral:rRNA from 1 species